rnacentral:lncRNA from 1 species
UAUACCUAGAAGUGCUGGUUUGGUGUAGGCACACGGAGGGCUCUGCUGCUAGGAGACAGAAACAGCUCACAGAUCCAGCAGCAGGUACAGGAAGAGCCUGGGCAGAGACUGACAUGCCUUCAUCCAUUUGACUCAUUUGAUUCAUUUGACUCAGUGGGUCAAAGUGGUUGAAGAUUUCUCAAUCACCAAGACAGAUCUGGAGUGGAGGAGGCGGUUGGUCUACCCUGCAAUCUCAGUUCCCUGGGCUAUGGGAAUUGCAGAGGCUGACAAGUCCUGAGCAGGUCAAUGAGGACACUGAUAAUUCUGAUUCAAUCUUCACUGGGACUCUGGAUAGCAACUGUGCAAAUUCUCCAAUGAAGAGUAGGGUGUGUGGCUCAGUGAUAGAGCACUUAUCUAGAAUCCCCCAGUGAGGGACCAGGGAGUGGCUCAAUGGUAGAGCCCCUGCCUAGAAUCCCCCAGUGAGGGGCCAGGGCAUAGCUCAGUGGUAGAGCCCCUGCCUAGAAUCCCCCAG